CAGCAUGACACCAUGAAGGAAGAAUACAGAAGCAGAAUGUGGUAGUGUCUUGGGGUGACUGUCAAGUCCUCUAAUUGCUCCUCAGUGCCCCUUGCUCUCCUUCAGGUGCCUGCUGGCAAUGAGACUCAAGAACCAGAAACAGCAGUUAAGAAACAAGGGCAAGAUGAGGCAGCCAUUGCUCUGGAGACUCUUUGGCUGCUAUGAGCCAUAUCAGUUGCAUUAACUUCACUGAGGCUUCACCAGCUACUCUUAGAGACUUUGGCCCAUAUGUGCACGUAGAUGAGUGUUGACACUUUUCACAGAACUGCAGCUCGGACAACAAUAAGGAUUUUCAAGCAGUGGAGUCAAACCAGGACUGCUGAAGAAAAAUUGGGAUAUUAACAGUAGGGACCAGAAAGAAGACACAAAUAAGAAACAAUCAUUUUUACCCAGAGACAAGGUCACUGAUGAGAAAUGAACAGAAAUGCUGUCAGCCUCCGAAGCCAUGUAACAGUUUUGACGAGUUGUUUUAUAACAUGCUGCUUUGCCACAAAACAAGACAACUCCUUUGCCAGAUAGGAGCGAGUGUAACAGUUGUUACCUUUCAACAACUCUUCAUUUCUGAUCAAAAGAGAAGGAGGUAAUUUUUUGAAAUCUGUUAAU